UAACGGCGAGUGAAGCGGCAACAGCUCAAAUUUGAAAUCUGGCCUCCUCCGGGGUCCGAGUUGUAAUUUGCAGAGGGUGCUUUGGCGUUGGCAGCGGUCUAAGUUCCUUGGAACAGGACGUCACAGAGGGUGAGAAUCCCGUACGUGGUCGCCCGCCUCCGCCGUGUAAAGCCCCUUCGACGAGUCGAGUUGUUUGGGAAUGCAGCUCUAAAUGGGAGGUAAAUUUCUUCUAAAGCUAAAUACUGGCCAGAGACCGAUAGCGCACAAGUAGAGUGAUCGAAAGAUGAAAAGCACUUUGGAAAGAGAGUCAAAAAGCACGUGAAAUUGUUGAAAGGGAAGCGCUUGCAGCCAGACUUGCCCGUAGUUGCUCACCCGGACUUUUGCCCGGGGCACUCUUCUGCGGGCAGGCCAGCAUCAGUUUGGGCGACCGGAUAACGGCCUCUGUCAUGUACCAUCCCUCGGGAUGGCCUUAUAGGGGAGGCGUAAUGCGGCCAGCCCGGACUGAGGUCCGCGCAUCUGCUAGGAUGCUGGCGUAAUGGCUGUAAGCGGCCCGUCUUGAAACACGGACCAAGGAGUCUAACAUCUAUGCGAGUGUUUGGGUGUCAAGCCCGGGCGCGCAAUGAAAGUGAACGGAGGUGGGAACCCUCUCGGGGGCGCACCAUCGACCGAUCCUGAUGUUCUCGGAUGGAUUUGAGUAAGAGCAUAGCUGUUGGGACCCGAAAGAUGGUGACUAUGCUUGAAUAGGGUGAAGCCAGAGGAAACCUGGUGGAGGCUCGCAGCGGUUCUGACGUGCAAAUCGAUCGUCAAAUUUGGGCAUAGGGGCGAAAGACUAAUCGAACUAUCUAGUAGCUGGUUCCUGCCGAGU
rnacentral:rRNA from 1 species